AGCGAACGCUGGCGGCAGGCUUAACACAUGCAAGUCGAGCGGGCAUCCUUGUGGUGUCAGCGGCAGACGGGUGAGUAACGCGUGGGAACGUGCCCUUCGGUUCGGAAUAACUCAGGGAAACUUGAGCUAAUACCGGAUACGCCCUUUUGGGGAAAGGUUUACUGCCGAAGGAUCGGCCCGCGUCUGAUUAGCUAGUUGGUGAGGUUAUGGCUCACCAAGGCGACGAUCAGUAGCUGGUCUGAGAGGAUGAUCAGCCACACUGGGACUGAGACACGGCCCAGACUCCUACGGGAGGCAGCAGUGGGGAAUAUUGGACAAUGGGGGCAACCCUGAUCCAGCCAUGCCGCGUGAGUGAUGACGGCCUUAGGGUUGUAAAGCUCUUUUCUCCGGGACGACAAUGACGGUACCGGAGGAAUAAGCCCCGGCUAACUUCGUG
rnacentral:rRNA from 1 species